GUUAAAACAGUUAUCUCUUAUAGCCAUUAUCCUUAUGGCAUUGAUGGUUAUAACGGCUACAUAUAUUGGUCACAGUCGAGAAAUGGCAUCAUCAAACGAGCCGAUAAAUCUGGAGGAAGUAGCAGUAGCUAGUCAUAUACUAGACCUUAUGGUGUAGUAGGCGUAAAGGUUUAUGAUGGAGGAAAUGUUUUCCCGACUGAACAUGUGUGCACUACCGAAUGCUUAUCGAGUGUCAUUUUUCAAACAACAACUCAAGAUGAAGAAAAUGUUUCCCCGACUGAUCAUGUGCGCACUACCGAAGGCUUAUCGGGUGUAAUGACAAUUUUCCAAACAAUUCAAGAUGACAAGAAAUCAAUUUUGGCAAUAGCAUUAGUUAUAGUUUUACUAGUCUUCAGUAUUGUGGUCAUUGGAUUAAUGUAUAGCAAAGUCAAAUCGAACAAUACAAGAAUAGAGAAUGGAAACAGGGAAUAUGACCAAGAGAAAACUAAUCGACCAAAGCGCAUCUUUAGGCCAAAAAUUGAUGUUACUCGAGAUCGGCGUGAAAGAAACCAGCAUGACGACCAAAGAAUAGAAAGGCAGGUUUGGAUGACAAGAGAUAGAAUUCGUGGUGACCUUCAAAUUUACUUCCUUGACUUCUAAAUUGUUCUAAGGUUCAUCAGAAUGAUUUGACAAAACGACUGAUUAUUUUAACCUCAAAAUUAAAUCUGAAUACAACCAAACCCAUGUACAUAUAGAAGAGUUUUAGUGGAAGACAGUAACUAGAUUAAUAUAAUAAUAUUUGAAAAUAUAAUAAAAACUUUAGUAAUAAAAUGUUUACAUAUAUCAUAACAAAAAAUGUAGGUAUGUACAAAAAGGACAUGGCUAAACAAAAUCACGUGAAACGAAUAAACGGAUAGAAUGAGUAAUUGGAAACAUACACAAAUCCAUAUCCAUAAAGUUUGAAGCUGGAAUAACAACAAUAUUACUGGAAUACAUUUUAACUGUUUUCACGAUACAUAAACAAUGCAUUAUGAUUCAGAUUGAUUUUGUUACAGAUUGAUGAAUGCUGGUUUUUAAAAUGUCCGCUAGUUAUUAUCAUGUGCUAAUUUAAGAAAAAAAGAAAAGCACUAUUCUGCACUUGGACACAUGUAUGACAGUAAUAAUUUGACAAACAUGUCGUAUCUUUGGUAAAAUUUUAAAUAGAAAAGAUAAAAUUUUCAAAAGUUUGCAGGGAAGGUAAUUUGUUUAAACUAGAUUCCUAAAUGCAUUAAUGUUCUUAAAUGACAAAUUAAAAAAAUAAUAUUGCUUUAACUAAAUAUUACACAAAAUUUAAAGUUUUAACGCACAUUUUUAUUUUAUAAAAGAAAGCAUUAAUUGACAGAUGAUAAAUCGUCACCUUCUUUCAGUAAACUGAAUAUUUCAUAUCUAAAAUUAACCAUUUUGAUAAAUGUAGUUUUCACCAUUAAAUGAUAUGGAUGCUUACAAUUGUUUUUCUUAAAAUAAAGUAUUUAAACAAUUUCUUUAGUAGCAUUAUAACAUUGUUUGAUUUCAUUUAAUAUACCAGCUUCCUGUGUAUCUUUCAGGUAGAAAAAAACUAAGUUAUAUGACUCAAUCCUAUUCAAAUGCAACCAACAAAUUAUCUCAAACAAAAUCAAUUUUGCCUCGAGUUUAGUUUGCCCAUAUUAUUUGCUUUUUUUUCUAAAUAUUGAUACUUUUGUAGUGAUGUAUUAAUCAAAUAAUUUCUACAUUCUUUGAGUAGCCUUAAUUGUUUUUGUGUUGUUUUUUCUCUCACUUAUCUGUUAAAGUUAUAUAAUACUUCAAAUUAAAAAAAAACAGUUGA